GGCUCGUUGGUCUAGGGGUAUGAUUCUCGCUUUGGGUGUGAGAGGUCCCAGGUUCAAAUCCAGUAUGGGCCC
rnacentral:tRNA from 1 species